UACGUAGGGUGCGAGCGUUGUCCGGAAUUACUGGGCGUAAAGAGCUCGUAGGUGGUUUGUCGCGUCGGCUGUGAAAACUCGGGGCUCAACUCCGAGCUUGCAGUCGAUACGGGCAGGCUAGAGUUCGGCAGGGGAGACUGGAAUUCCUGGUGUAGCGGUGAAAUGCGCAGAUAUCAGGAGGAACACCGGUGGCGAAGGCGGGUCUCUGGGCCGAUACUGACACUGAGAGCGAAAGCGUGGGGAGCGAACAGG
rnacentral:rRNA from 1 species